UGGGGAAUAUUGGACAAUGGGGGCAACCCUGAUCCAGCAAUGCCGCGUGUGUGAAGAAGGCCUUCGGGUUGUAAAGCACUUUAGGCGGGGACGAAAGGUUACUGUUUAAGAGAUGGUAAAUAUGACGGUACCCGCAGAAUAAGCACCGGCUAACUCUGUGCCAGCAGCCGCGGUAAUACAGAGGGUGCAAGCGUUAAUCGGAAUUACUGGGCGUAAAGGGCGCGUAGGUGGUUGUGUAAGUGAGAUGUGAAAUCCCCGGGCUUAACCUGGGACGUGCAUCUUAAACUGCAGAGCUAGAGUGCAAUAGAGGGGAGUGGAAUUUCCGGUGUAGCGGUGAAAUGCGUAGAGAUCGGAAGGAACACCAGUGGCGAAGGCGGCUACCUGGAUUGACACUGACACUGAAGCGCGAGAGCGUGGGGAGCAAACAGG
rnacentral:rRNA from 1 species